AUUGAACGCUGGCGGCAUGCCUUACACAUGCAAGUCGAACGGCAGCACGGGAGCAAUCCUGGUGGCGAGUGGCGAACGGGUGAGUAAUACAUCGGAACGUGCCCAAUCGUGGGGGAUAACGCAGCGAAAGCUGUGCUAAUACCGCAUACGAUCUACGGAUGAAAGCAGGGGACCGCAAGGCCUUGCGCGAAUGGAGCGGCCGGUGGCAGAUUAGGUAGUUGGUGGGGUAAAGGCUCACCAAGCCAACGAUCUGUAGCUGGUCUGAGAGGACGACCAGCCACACUGGGACUGAGACACGGCCCAGACUCCUACGGGAGGCAGCAGUGGGGAAUUUUGGACAAUGGGCGCAAGCCUGAUCCAGCCAUGCCGCGUGCAGGAUGAAGGCCUUCGGGUUGUAAACUGCUUUUGUACGGAACGAAACGGCUCUUUCUAAUAAAGAGGGCUAAUGACGGUACCGUAAGAAUAAGCACCGGCUAACUACGUGCCAGCCGCCGCCGUAAUAC
rnacentral:rRNA from 1 species